CAUUCCGAACACACAGGUAAAGUCCUCCAGCGCUGAUGGUACUGAGGUGGAGACGCCUUGGGAGAGUAAGUCGCUGCCGGGU
rnacentral:rRNA from 1 species